rnacentral:rRNA from 1 species
UACGGGGGGGGCAAGCGUUGUUCGGAAUUACUGGGCGUAAAGGGCUCGUAGGCGGCCAACUAAGUCGGACGUGAAAUCCCCAGGCUCAACCUGGGAACUGCGUCCGAUACUGGAUGGCUUGAAUUCGGGAGAGGGAUGCAGAAUUCCAGGUGUAGCGGUGAAAUGCGCAGAUAUCAGGAGGAACACCAGCGGCGAAGGCGGCGCUCUGGGCCGGUACUGACACUGAGGAGCGAAAGCGUGGGUAGCAAACAGG